rnacentral:lncRNA from 1 species
AUUAGUUUCCCAAACUUAAUCUUUCAACUCUGUUUCUUUAAAAAAAUGAAAAGCCCUCUUCAAACUAUCCCAAAUCAGCAUCCCAUCAUCCUAAAUCAGCCUCCCAUCUUCCUUCUCUCUAUUUAAAAAUCAAUUAAGGCCUCUUCCAUUAGGGUUCUUCCUUCUCUCUCUAAAAAUCAGUUAGGGACCCUUCCGUUAGGGUUUGUGUAAACCAUUUUCUUCUUCCUUCUUCUCUCUAUAAACCCUAAUGGCUAUGAGCCGAGCCCUAUUUUCUUAUCUUCUUCUUCCUUCUUCUCUCUUCGCUCUUCCCUUUUCUUCUCUUCUUCCUUCGUCGUUCUUCCAUCUUCUCUCUUUACACGGUAAACACAG